rnacentral:lncRNA from 1 species
UUAAAUCCAAAAUUUCCAUUACUAGAAUCUGAUACAUUCAAAACAUGAAUUUACAAUCAAAAUUGGUCCACAUACAUUACAAAGGCUAAACGAUUAAUCUAAAUCAAAUAUAAAUUUACUAAAUCGAUUAAUCUAAUUUAAAUCCUAAACCUAAAAAUAAUGUAUAAAAGGCUAAACGAAAAAAAGAAAGAAAAGGGAGCCAGGAAGAAGCAAUC